ACUCUCUGAAAGUGUUUCACAGUGAUGGAGCGGCCUCGCUUGGAUAACUGCGCCCAUUGCCUGAGCUGCCAUGAGGGAGGGAACCUCGGUCGCCCUCUCUCGGGGGGGGGGCCCCGGUAUAAACACGAGCAAGGGAUGAUCAUGACCGGGCGAGAGAUAGCUAGCCAAAGCAUCCUCAACCCGGGGCAUCAUCCCAUAGCCGAAGCCCUUGACCCCCGCUACGUCGCUGUAGACCCGGAGCGGGGGAGUAGUCAGACGUGCUGAGAAGGGUUUGCCCCAGGACUUGCACAACUCGUCAUGCAAGUCCGGAAAAAAACGGCGCUGCAGAAAGCGCUCAUCCAGCUUACUCAUGGCAUGUGUCUCUGGUACAUCCUGCGGCCAAUCGAGCUGGAGCUUGCUCACUGCCCGUGUCACCACCUACAGGAGUUCGUCAUAGCUGGGCGCCGACUGAUGACGUUGCUCCGCUUUUAUCUCCCGGAAGUCUUCCUCCUCCAUGAUGCUAAGCACAUCCAGUCAUCAUGGCUCUGUCCACUAACUAUGUUAGUAGGGAUUUUAUUUAUAAUUUAUAGAGACUUUUCAUUAUUAGGAUUCAAAAAACACCUCAUAAUAACUCACAAAUAGAAGAUGAUUCAAAUAUUCAAAUAUUUCGUACACUUGUGUCAUUUAUUGUUUUUCUCUGUAGCCAACAGCACAAUCUCCCACUAUUUGUUCUGGUUAAUAAAUGCGUUUUGGCAAUGUUUUAAAAUUUAGAUGGCUCGAGUCAAAAUAGCUCCUUUUAUGCCAACUUAAUCCACAACCCCCCACAGACGGGAAACAGUACAGACACAACUCUAGCGAAUGAGGAGCCAUAUUCUUUGAUUUUGGGAAACUAAAGCCUGAUGGAAAUGAAAAAGCUCGACAGACACAGAGGCAACACAGCAGCAACAGAAAAUGAUCCUCCAUCACACAGAAACGAGAGCAGUAACUGAGCCGUGUUCAGCGUUCAUCCUCAGACAGCUUUCAACACUGUGACGACUAGUUUCCCUUUUUCAGAAAAGUUGGGAUACUUUCCAAAAUGCAAUAAAAACAAAGAUCUGGGGUUUGUAAAUUCACAUGAACCUUUAGUUUCAAUAGUUUUACUGACCAGGGUAAUUGUAAUAGUAUUUUGUAAAAAUAAGUUAGUUGGGACAGAGGCAUUGUGUUACAUCACCUUUCCUUUUAAUUCCACCUUUUCAUACCAUCACAGAUACUGCUUUUGCAACUUUUACUGAGAACAAUCUGGAUGGUCACUGUCUUUUGUUCCAUCUGAGAUGAACUCAGGCCCAGAAAAGUCGCCAGCGUCUCUGCCUACCACUGAUGUGUGGAUUCCUCCUUGUAUUAUUCAGGUUGCAUUUCUGGAUGUUCACCAAUAUUGGCACAAAGGAGCGAGCCCCGACCCUGCAGACUACAUGACUUUCAAUGUCGGCAGAUCGCUGGGCUGUUCAGACUACACAACUUGCCAGCUUGUGUCGGGAGUCUCGCCGUCGUUCCCACUCCGUGACUUAUCGGUGACAGGAGGUCACACAGUACGCUAUUAGACAACAACUCUGUCACCCGAGGGCUGGUCUCAUAACCACGUUUGUCAAGAAAACA